GAAAAUAUGGUUCUCACAAAGGCACAGCCCUGUCAGGUACUGUGUGUAGUGAAGUGAUACUUACCGGCUCAAACACAGCAAAUGCCUUCACGGUACUCACUUAAGUACAAUUCCUGUAGACGUACAGAUUGAAUUGAAAUGGGUCUUACAGCAAUGUAUUAUUAAAUAAAAAUGUAUGUUUUUUUCACUUCA